rnacentral:rRNA from 1 species
AACGAACGCUGGCGGCAGGCCUAACACAUGCAAGUCGAACGCUCUAGCAAUAGAGAGUGGCAGACGGGGGAGUAACGCGUGGGGACCUUCCCAAUGGUGCAGAAUAGCCCAGGGAAACUUGGGGUAAUACUGCAUAAGCCCUUCGGGGGAAAGAUUUAUCGCCAUUGGAUGGGCGCGCGUCGGAUUAGCUAGUUGGUGAGGUAAUGGCUCACCAAGGCAACGAUCCGUAGCUGGUUUGAGAGAAUGACCAGCCACACUGGGACUGAGACACGGCCCAGACUCCUACGGGAGGCAGCAGUGGGGAAUCUUGGACAAUGGGCGCAAGCCUGAUCCAGCCAUGCCGCGUGAGUGACGAAGGCCUUAGGGUUGUAAAGCUCUUUUGCCGGGGACGAUAAUGACGGUACCCGGAGAGUAAGUCCCGGCUAACUUCGUGCCAGCCGCCGCCGUAA